rnacentral:rRNA from 1 species
UACAGAGGGUGCGAGCGUUGUUCGGAAUUAUUGGGCGUAAAGGGCGCGUAGGCGGUGCCACAAGUCACUUGUGAAAUCUCCGGGCUUAACUCGGAGCCUGCAGGCGAAACUGUGGUGCUGGAGUGUGGGAGAGGUGCGUGGAAUUCCCCGUGUAGCGGUGAAAUGCGUAGAUAUCGGGAGGAACACCUGUGGCGAAAGCGGCGCACUGGACCAUAACUGACGCUGAGGCGCGAAAGCUAGGGGAGCAAACAGG